AAAUACAGAGGGGGCAAGCGUUAUUCGGAAUUAUUGGGCGUAAAGGGCGCGUAGGCGGCUUGGCAAGUGGAAGGUGAAAUCCCUCGGCUUAACCGAGGAACUGCCCUCCAAACUGCCUUGCUUGAGGCCGGGAGAGGCGAGUGGAAUUCCCAGUGUAGCGGUGAAAUGCGUAGAUAUUGGGAGGAACACCAGUGGCGAAGGCGGCUCGCUGGACCGGUUCUGACGCUGAGGCGCGAAAGCGUGGGGAGCGAUCCG
rnacentral:rRNA from 1 species